AGUAAAAUGCCUGAAAUUUAAAGGGUUAUCUUGAUAGGAUAAAUGAUGUAUUUUUAUACUUUUACUA
rnacentral:tRNA from 1 species